rnacentral:rRNA from 1 species
GACGAACGCUGGCGGCGUGCCUAAUACAUGCAAGUAGAACGCUGAAACUUGGUGCUUGCACCGAGCGGUUGAGUUGCGAACGGGUGAGUAACGCGUAGGUAACCUGCCUGGUAGCGGGGGAUAACUAUUGGAAACGAUAGCUAAUACCGCAUAAGAGUAGAUGUUGCAUGACAUUUGCUUAAAAGGUGCAAUUGCACCACUACCAGAUGGACCUGCGUUGUAUUAGCUAGUUGGUGGGGUAACGGCUCACCAAGGCGACGAUACAUAGCCGACCUGAGAGGGUGAUCGGCCACACUGGGACUGAGACAAGGCCCAGACUCCUACGGGAGGCAGCAGUAGGGAAUCUUCGGCAAUGGACGGAAGUCUGACCGAGCAACGCCGCGUGAGUGAAGAAGGUUUUCGGAUCGUAAAGCUCUGUUGUAAGAGAAGAACGAGUGUGAGAGUGGAAAGUUCACACUGUGACGGUAUCUUACCAGAAAGGGACGGCUAACUACGUG